ACGCUGGCGGCACGCCUAACACAUGCAAGUCGAACGAAGUAGCAAUACUUAGUGGCAGACGGGUGAGUAACAUGUAGGUAUCUGCCCUUUGGCCUGGAAUAACACGAGGAAACUUGUGCUAAUACCGGAUAAGUCUUUACAGAGAAAGCUUUAUGCACCAUUGGAUGAGCCUGCACUUGAUUAGUUUGUUGGUGGGGUAAUGGCCUACCAAGACUGUGAUCAAUAGCUGAUUUGAGAGGAUGAUCAGCCACAUUGGGACUGAGACACGGCCCAAACUCCUACGGGAGGCAGCAGUGGGGAAUCUUGCACAAUGGAGGAAACUCUGAUGCAGCGAUGCCGCGUGAGUGAAGAAGGCCUUUGGGUUGUAAAGCUCUUUCGUCGGGGAAGAAAAUGACUGUACCCGAAUAAGAAGGUCCGGCUAACUUCGUGCCAGCAGCCGCGGUAAUACGAAGGGACCUAGCGUAGUUCGGAGUUACUGGGCUUAAAGAGUUCGUAGGUGGUUGAAAAAGUUAGUGGUGAAAUCCCAGAGCUUAACUCUGGAACUGCCAUUAAAACUUUUCAGCUAGAGUAUGAUAGAGGAAAGCAGAAUUUCUAGUGUAGAGGUGAAAUUCGUAGAUAUUAGAAAGAAUACCAAUUGCGAAGGCAGCUUUCUGGAUCAUUACUGACACUGAGGAACGAAAGCAUGGGUAGCGAAGAGGAUUAGAUACCCUCGUAGUCCAUGCCGUAAACGAUGUGUGUUAGACGUUGGAAAUUUAUUUUCAGUGUCGCAGCGAAAGCGAUAAACACACCGCCUGGGGAGUACGACCGCAAGGUUAAAACUCAAAUGAAUUGACGGGGACCCGCACAAGUAGUGGAGCAUGUGGUUUAAUUCGAAGAUACGCGCAGAACCUUACCAACACUUGACAUGUUCGUCGCGACUCUAAGAGAUUAGAGUUUUCGGUUCGGCCGGACGAAACACAGGUGCUGCAUGGCUGUCGUCAGCUCGUGUCGUGAGAUGUUGGGUUAAGUCCCGCAACGAGCGCAACCCUCACUUUUAGUUGCCAUCAUUAAGUUGGGCACUCUGAAAGAACUGCCAGUGAUAAGCUGGAGGAAGGUGGGGAUGACGUCAAGUCCUCAUGGCCCUUACGUGUUGGGCUACACACGUGCUACAAUGGUAUCUACAACAGGAAGCAAGACUGCGAAGUUAAGCAAAUCCCUAAAAGAUACCUCAGUUCGGAUUGCACUCUGCAACUCGAGUGCAUGAAGCUGGAAUUACUAGUAAUCGUGGAUCAGCGUGCCACGGUGAAUGCGUUCCCGGGUCUUGUACACAC
rnacentral:rRNA from 1 species